rnacentral:rRNA from 1 species
AGCGAACGCUGGCGGCAGGCCUAACACAUGCAAGUCGAACGAACCUUUCGGGGUUAGUGGCGGACGGGUGAGUAACACGUGGGAACGUGCCUUUAGGUUCGGAAUAACUCAGGGAAACUUGUGCUAAUACCGAAUGUGCCCUUCGGGGGAAAGAUUAAUCGCCUUUAGAGCGGCCCGCGUCUGAUUAGCUAGUUGGUUGAGGUAAUGGCUCACCAAGGCGACGAUCGGUAGCUGGUCUGAGAGGAUGAUCAGCCACAUUGGGACUGAGACACGGCCCAAACUCCUACGGGAGGCAGCAGUGGGGAAUCUUGCGCAAUGGGCGAAAGCCUGACGCAGCCAUGCCGCGUGAAUGAUGAAGGUCUUAGGAUUGUAAAAUUCUUUCACCGGGGACGAUAAUGACGGUACCCGGAGAAGAAGCCCCGGCUAACUUCGUG